rnacentral:rRNA from 1 species
GUUGCAAAGAACUUUGAAGAGAGAGUUCAAGAGUACGUGAAACUGCUGAGAGGCAAACUGGUGGGCCCUCGAAAUCCCGUUUGCGGGGAGAUUCAGUCGGGUGUCGGCGGCCGUCUCUAAAAUGGGUCUGUCGCAACCGAAGAUCGGGGCACAUUCCGAGGGACGAGUUCCGCUGGAACCCGACGCAUUUCCCGCCCGCACGAAAGGAACGCCGCAGCCGGUCGGGUAGCUGCGCGUGUCGGCCAUGAGGACGUUGCAACGGCAGGUGACCGGCGGCCCYAGGCUUCUCCGGAGGCACUGACGGUCGACGGUUGAUUAGCCGGCUCGUCCGUGGCGCGACACCCGACCGAGGUAAAGAGAGAGACAGAGAUGGGGAUAACGUCUCCACGGAGACGUCCCCGUCUGCAAUCCACUACUUUCAAACGAGAGAGCGAGCCGUCGGACAGGCGCGUUCCUGCGUGGUCGGACAGUCACCGCACUGGUCGAUCUGGUGGGAGCGCGUCGAUCGUACCGAGUCAGGAUCUCGCGGAGGAUGAAGGCUGGCGGCGAGUAGGUCGGUAACCCACCCGACCCGUCUUGAAACACGGACCAAGGAGUCUAACAUGUGCGCAAGUCGCGGGGUCUUGUUCAGGCCCAGAGGCGAAAUGAAAGUGAAGGCCGCCGCUUCCCCUUAUUCAGUUAGGGGCGGAGUGAGGCGGCCAGGUCGGGACUCGCACGUGACACGGGACGUGACGAAGCACCGACGACCCGCCCUGUUCUAUCUUCUGGAUAGGAACUCAAACGGAGUUCGAGCGCACACGUUGGGACCCGAAAGAUGGUGAACUAUGCCUGGGCAGGACGAAGCCAGAGGAAACUCUGGUGGAGGUCCGCAGCGGUUCUGACGU